GCCCUCUAUCUACUCUCAAAAUUUCAUGUUAAUCGGAGUACGUUUGGACAUUGAAAAAUGGAUCGGAAUACACUGCCCUCAUUUUGGACGAAAAUUCUAAUUAGUAUAGAGCAUGAAAUAUGGACUAGGUUCAUUCUUUUGGUUAAAUCCAUCUCAACCCUUAGAUCAAAUGUGUAAAAAUAAAUCCUAACCAUUCAUUCUCUUAUAAAUAGAGCCUUAGCUAAAUUCACUUUCACUUAAGUUUUAACAAUCUUAGAACAAGUAAAAUUGUUUGCUCCUCCUUUCAUUUUACUUCUUAGUUCUAGUCAAAUACCAUAUAGCCUAGAUCUUUCUUGUAGUGUUCAAGUGUUUUUCUAAACUAGCUACCUAGAGAAGAUUUGGUGGAGUUUUACUUCUAAGGAUUUUUGGAAGUGGAGCAGAAUACUACACUAAGGAGAAUCUUGAUGCAGGGAUAGAAAGUGAGGACGAUGGUCCUUUUACUAGUUUUGAUGGUUGAUAGACCAUCUGCUGCAGGAUUUAUGCUUACUCUAUGGAGCAAGUCUCAUUUAUAUUAAUCGCUUUUAUUAUGUAUGGUGAUGUGUGUAAACUGAAUAGAUAUUACUAUGUUAAUUUAGGUGCCGUCUGUGGCAUAUAUUUGGUACACCUAGUGUAUACAUAUGUUGUAAUGAAAACCAUGUUUCUAUUUUAUUUAAUAAUAUAUCAUCUCGAGGUAUUUCAGUCAGCUCAACUGUAUUGUGUAAGUUAUUCCUAGGUCAUAGAAAAAGAAAAAAAUAUACAUAAUCCGCUGUAAGAUUGUA